GACGAACGCUGGCGGCGUGCUUAACACAUGCAAGUCGAACGGAAAGGCCCUGCUUUUGUGGGGUGCUCGAGUGGCGAACGGGUGAGUAACACGUGAGUAACCUGCCCUUGACUUUGGGAUAACUUCAGGAAACUGGGGCUAAUACCGGAUAGGAGCUCCUGCUGCAUGGUGGGGGUUGGAAAGUUUCGGCGGUUGGGGAUGGACUCGCGGCUUAUCAGCUUGUUGGUGGGGUAGUGGCUUACCAAGGCUUUGACGGGUAGCCGGCCUGAGAGGGUGAGCGGCCACAUUGGGAGUGAGAUACGGCCCAGACUCCUACGGGAGGCAGCGGUGGGGAAUAUUGCACAAUGGGCGGAAGCCUGAUGCAGCAACGCCGCGUGCGGGAUGACGGCCUUCGGGUUGUAAACCGCUUUCGCCUGUGACGAAGCGUGAGUGACGGUAAUGGGUAAAGAAGCACCGGCUAACUACGUG
rnacentral:rRNA from 1 species